rnacentral:rRNA from 1 species
AUUGAACGCUGGCGGCAUGCCUUACACGUGCAAGUCGAACGGCAGCACGGGUGCUUGCACCUGGUGGCGAGUGGCGAACGGGUGAGUAAUACAUCGGAACAUGUCCUGUAGUGGGGGAUAGCCCGGCGAAAGCCGGAUUAAUACCGCAUACGAUCCACGGAUGAAAGCGGGGGACCUUCGGGCCUCGCGCUAUAGGGUUGGCCGAUGGCUGAUUAGCUAGUUGGUGGGGUAAAGGCCUACCAAGGCGACGAUCAGUAGCUGGUCUGAGAGGACGACCAGCCACACUGGGACUGGAACACGGCCCAGACUCCUACGGGAGGCAGCAGUGGGGAAUUUUGGACAAUGGGCGAAAGCCUGAUCCAGCAAUGCCGCGUGUGUGAAGAAGGCCUUCGGGUUGUAAAGCACUUUUGUCCGGAAAGAAAUCCUUGACUCUAAUACAGUCGGGGGAUGACGGUACCGGAAGAAUAAGCACCGGCUAACUACGUG